rnacentral:rRNA from 1 species
UCAGGAUGAACGCUAGCUACAGGCUUAACACAUGCAAGUCGAGGGGCAGCAUUGGAGUAGCAAUACUUCAGAUGGCGACCGGCGCACGGGUGAGUAACACGUAUCCAACCUGCCGCUUACUCGGGGAUAGCCUUUCGAAAGAAAGAUUAAUACCCGAUGGUAUAAAGAGUUCGCAUGUUCUCUUUAUUAAAGAAUUUCGGUAAGCGAUGGGGAUGCGUUCCAUUAGAUAGUUGGCGGGGUAACGGCCCACCAAGUCUACGAUGGAUAGGGGUUCUGAGAGGAAGGUCCCCCCACAUUGGAACUGAGACACGGUCCAAACUCCUACGGGAGGCAGCAGUGAGGAAUAUUGGUCAAUGGACGAGAGUCUGAAUCAGCCAAGUAGCGUGAAGGAUGACUGCCCUAUGGGUUGUAAACUUCUUUUAUAAGGGAAUAAAGUGAGGGACGUGUCCCUUUUUGUAUGUACCUUAUGAAUAAGGAUCGGCUAACUCCGUGCCAGCAGCUGC